rnacentral:rRNA from 1 species
AGUGAACGCUGGCGGCAGGCCUAACACAUGCAAGUCGAGCGGCAGCGGGUCCCCGCGAGGGGAUGCCGGCGAGCGGCGGACGGGUGAGGAACACAUCGGAAUCUGCCUGGUUGUGGGGGAUAACGUAGGGAAACUUACGCUAAUACCGCAUGAGACCCUGAGUCGACGGACUGGGGGUGAAAGUGAGGGACCUUCGGGCCUCACGCGACCAGAUGAGCCGAUGUCGGAUUAGCUAGUUGGCGGGGUAACGGCCCGCCAAGGCGACGAUCCGUAGCUGGUCUGAGAGGAUGAUCAGCCACACUGGGACUGAGACACGGCCCAGACUCCUACGGGA